rnacentral:hammerhead_ribozyme from 1 species
AUCCAGAUGACGAGUCCCAAAUAGAACGAAAUGCGCAUCCUAGAU